UUCAUAAGGCAGCAGUCAGCGCGGAGGUGCGGAGGCUUCCGGCCCUCGCACUAACUUGCAUUCCAGCAUUAAAGAUAAUGGAUACAAUGGAAAAUCGAUGGCGAAUAUGUAACUUUAUCCCAUUCAUAGCUUCAUAUUGCAUUACGCCGUGGCCUUCAGAUACAUAAAAGUGAUAUAUGGCUGAACUUGGCAGGAAAAAAGAACACAGGAAACAAAUAUCUUUGACUGCCAGGGCCAGGGGCUGUUGGUAAAGUCUCAGCUUCACGCUGGGGUUGUGGUGGCUCCCCAGGUCUCCCGUGCUAACCUAAGCUACGCUGCUUGUCAUCGCUCCGGGUGAAGAGAUGGAAAAGGGGAUGUACUAUGGCACAGUGGAUGGAUGGACAGGACUGUGGCGGCAACAUUCCCACUACUGAGUUUACAAAGCUUGCCAAACGUGGAGAACUUCACAGAAAUCGAGAAGAAAAAGCUUCCUGGCUGGCUGGAUUUUCCAUUGCUUUCUCAGCUGUACCGUGGUGGCUCCUCUAAUUUAUUCUGCAACCAGAGGGGACAACUGCGCACAGCACAGGCAUGCGAGACAGGAGAGAGUCGCUGGCACAUAGCACCACAGCUGCUCUGGAACCUCAGGAAAAUUGAUUUUAGGUGAAAGGACUGGGUUCUCCUCGCACGCUGGGUAAAUGAGGAAUGCCUUUACUGAGGACCGUGGCUUUGCAUGAGAACAACCUGGUGAAAGGGGGGAAAGCAGGCUGAAAAAACCUUUUCUUGCAAGGUCCCUCGGUUUUAUAUUCUUAGUCGCACUUGCAGAAUACAUCAUACCGACAGGAAAUUAUGCUUCCUUUCUCCCUCACUUUCCUGGUUUAGAUUUCAGCUCCUCCUGUGUAAUACCAGCGAGUACAGAUAAAGUUAUUUUACAGUAUGAAGUCAGUGCUUCUCCAAAUAAUUUAACUAAUGUUUAUAACGCUAUCCCCUGUAAAAGGGAUAAGUAUUAUCCCCAUUUUACAGGUGUGAAAAUCAAGGCAAUUUGGUCAUGGUGUUGAAAGGAAAUUAUGUUAAACUACCAGCACUGAAUUCAUGUAACUUAUCCCACUUCUUGACUGUAGAUCAGAGUUCAUACAGUCACGCUCUAUAAAUAUCUGCCAGCACGUAUAUGUGGGCUUCAUAUGAACGUAAAAAACCUACCCUUCCCUCAAACUUUGAUUCAGCAUCUGAAUGUAUCUUCCUCGUACCUAGUUUUACUGUAUUUGGUCUAAAAGCCCAUAACUUGAGUCACACACACGAACUUCAGAGAGAAGAUUGCCAGAAAUAGGGCUUCUGCUGUUGGAGGCUGCUGCCCGGUCCUAACCUGCACUUUUCAUGUCUCAGUUGCAGAUGAGAUGGAAAAUCUGAGCUGCUUUGGCCAGAAGCCUAUCCUGGAUUUGGAUUCUCCUUUUUUUUCCUCAAACAGUAUGUGCAAUUACUGACUACUUUGCAAUACAGAAAAGCAAGAUAAUCCCAUUUCUGAUCGCUGGAACUGGGACGGAUCUGAUUUGUAAAGUAAAAUGGCAUGCACAGAAGUAGGCAAGAAAGGGGGGAAAAAAUCAGUGAGAAGCUACUUCUAGGGAAUCAGGAAAAAAAAACAGGAUAGGAUUUCUUCCUUAGUGAAUUGUUUUUGCCCAGGAACAUUUCAGUCCUAAAGCAAAUCCAGAAACUGUUGUGAGUCUAUGACAUAUGACUAGUAUCUUGAAAGUUUACAGCAGAUUGCAACAGCCCGAGAUGACAUUUAGGCAGCUGAAGCCACAUUCGCUAAGUUGUGUUUCACAGGGAAAAAUAUACUGCCUAGUGGAAAUAUUAUGCUGUUGUUGGGUGGCAGCUUGCAUUAUUAUUAGAGAUGGCAAGGGUCUAUGUGGCAUUUGUACUUGAAACAAGGAAUUUUAAGCAACUCGGAGCUUACGGGCUGGGCACUUCUUUGCUUGCUUUUGUAUCACUUGGGUUUCUGUGUGUGCAUAUUUUAGCUAAUG